rnacentral:tRNA from 1 species
GGGCGUCUCGGUGGGGGUCCCGGAGCCUCCCGUCGUUGUGGGCGCCGGCACGAUGCUGGGUGUCGGUGUCAGCGUUCGUGUCGUCGGCGGCUU